AACGAACGCUGGCGGCAUGCCUAACACAUGCAAGUCGAACGAAGCCUUCGGGCUUAGUGGCGCACGGGUGCGUAACGCGUGGGAAUCUGCCCUUUGGUUCGGAAAAAAAGUUGGAAACGACUGCUAAUACCGGAUGAUGACGAAAGUCCAAAGAUUUAUCGCCAGAGGAUGAGCCCGCGUAGGAUUAGCUAGUUGGUGUGGUAAAGGCGCACCAAGGCGACGAUCCUUAGCUGGUCUGAGAGGAUGAUCAGCCACACUGGGACUGAGACACGGCCCAGACUCCUACGGGAGGCAGCAGUGGGGAAUAUUGGACAAUGGGCGAAAGCCUGAUCCAGCAAUGCCGCGUGAGUGAUGAAGGCCCUAGGGUUGUAAAGCUCUUUUACCCGGGAUGAUAAUGACAGUACCGGGAGAAUAAGCCCCGGCUAACUCCGUGCCAGCCGCCGCGGUAA
rnacentral:rRNA from 1 species